rnacentral:rRNA from 1 species
GACGAACGCUGGCGGCGUGCUUAACACAUGCAAGUCGAGCGGUAAGGCCCUUUCGGGGGGUACACGAGCGGCGAACGGGUGAGUAACACGUGGGUGACCUGCCCUCAGCUCUGGGAUAAGCCUGGGAAACUGGGUCUAAUACUGGAUAUGACUCCACGGUGCAUGUCGUGGGGUGGAAAGCCUUGUGCGGCUGAGGAUGGGCCCGCGGCCUAUCAGCUUGUUGGUGGGGNGAUGGCCUACCAAGGCGACGACGGGUAGCCGGCCUGAGAGGGCGACCGGCCACACUGGGACUGAGACACGGCCCAGACUCCUACGGGAGGCAGCAGUGGGGAAUCUUGCGCAAUGGGACGAAAGCCUGACGCAGCGACGCCGCGUGAGGGAUGACGGCCU